rnacentral:rRNA from 1 species
GACGAACGCUGGCGGCGUGCUUAACACAUGCAAGUCGAGCGGAAAGGCUCCUUCGGGGGUACUCGAGCGGCGAACGGGUGAGUAACACGUGAGUAAUCUGCCCUGCGCUCUGGGAUAGCCACCGGAAACGGUGAUUAAUACCGGAUAUGACCGCUACACGCAUGUGUUGGUGGUGGAAAGUUUUUCGGCGCAGGAUGUGCCCGCGGCCUAUCAGCUUGUUGGUGAGGUAAUGGCUCACCAAGGCUUUGACGGGUAGCCGGCCUGAGAGGGUGACCGGUCAAACUGGGACUGAGACACGGCCCAGACUCCUACGGGAGGCAGCAGUGGGGAAUAUUGGACAAUGGGCGGAAGCCUGAUCCAGCAACGCCGCGUGAGGGAUGACGGCCUUCGGGUUGUAAACCUCUUUCAGUACCGACGAAGCGAAAGUGACGGUAGGUACAGAAGAAGGACCGGCCAACUACGUGCCAGCAGCCGCGGUAACAC